CUGAACAGAAAUGUGUGUGUAAAGGAUAUUAAUAAUAUAGAUAAUAUCUGAGACAUAUCUAUGAUAUAUUUUUCAGAUACAUCUGAGAUAUAUUUAUUUGAGGAGUCUUCGUGCUGGGACAACUUCGCAAGGACCUUUCCAACGCAUUUCCGCACAAGGUAGAGAGAUAGAGAGAGAGUCGCUGUACGCUUUAACUACCAACAACGUUUGCCCAACUGCCUCCGCCUCCGACAGACCUCCCCCUGCAUUUCUCUUUGUCUCACCGUGGCCCAGGCAAGCUCAAUGCUCCAUCUCCCAGCUCCUCCAAAUCCAGCUGCCCGCCGACCCCCCCCUCAUCCAUACCAGCGACCGCCGCGGGCACUGUGGGAAUCAGCUCCGUUGCCCGUAGAUCGGUGUAAGCAUCGUACGCGUAACCGCCGUACCCGCCGUACGUGGAGUCUGGACCGGCCGUGGGCUGGCCCAUAUUCAUGUCCUGUUCAUAUCCAAACGUGCAGCGUGGGAGCGUAGGAGCGUGGGAGAGCGGACGCCGGCACACAUGUUGAGGUGCAUGGCAAGUACAUGGCAAUGCCUGGGAAGUAAUGGCGAGUACGAGAUGUAAUAAUAAGGGUUGGGAAAUUGCCGUUCGCCACCAGUAAUUUGGUCACGUACGUAUCCGCCUGCGCUAGCUGUCAACCUCCCGACGCUGUACCCACUGGCAUGCAAGUUGCCGCAUCCUUCGGUCCGACCCGCCGGAAGUUGCGCAUCUAACCGCGGCACACGGGCACUGAUAACUGCCUGGGCCAGACUUGAACCGUACCAAAUAUUA
rnacentral:lncRNA from 1 species